ACCAGAUCCGCUGCCUUACGGCAGCCUGCCGUGCGCUCGUCGAUUUUCAAACCAACGGUGAUCUGCUGUCCUCUCCCUCAGUAGUGUAUGGAGCGGCCCAACAGAGUAAUUCUGGCCCACUUCUUUUCUUCGUUUCUUAUUUCUUUCAUCUAGGAACACAGCGCAACGGAGGGAAAACCGUGGGAGGAAAAAGCAGCAGGAAAGGCUGCCUGUUUUGGCGCCAGAUACAGAGAGACAGUGACAAAAGGAACCAACGGACAGGGUAAAAAGCACCAAAUACAGAGAGACAGCGACGAAGGGAACCAACUAACGGACAAGGCAAAAAGCUGAGAAGCAAAGAUGGAGGAAGAUGCGACCAACGGAUCAAACAUGGAGAAUGUGUUGCCCUGUUUGAUUCCUCGUAUUGGAAUGAAAUUCAGAAAUCCAGAUGAGGGCUGGAGAUUUUGGUUAGCGUAUAGUGGUCAAAAAGGUUUUGAUGUUAGAAAAAGGUACUCAAAUACAAGUAAGAUUGAUGGAAACGUCACGUCAUGUAGAUUUGUUUGUGCUAAUCAAGGUCAUCGAGGGAAAGAUAAAAAGGGGUAUGAAGUAAAGUGUCAUCAAGCUGAAACUAGAACAGAUUGUGAAGUGCGUAUGGGACUUGUAAAAGAUAAAGAGUUUGGUGGAUACAAAGUUUAUGAUUUGAAUUUAGAACACAA